GCUAAAAUACCCAUGAACACCGACGGGAGUGUUUAGGGAAUAAUAACUAGUGAUAUGGCGACCAACGGACCGUUUCUCCCUGUAAUAUAGAGAUAGCGGAAUUUAAUAAAGCCAUGUAGGCACUAAAAGUAGCGCACGCUCAUUCUACCAAUUCAGCUGGAAUAUGGGAAAAAUUUAUCAAAUUAGAAAAAAUUGGACAACAUUUUCCUGCUGUCGGAAAAUUCAAAUUAAAUAAAGAAUUCAGGGAGGCAAUUAUGACUUGGCACAAGGACAUAAAACCAGAAUCAAAAGCUCAAUAUACCAGCAUUUUGAUGUCAACAUUCUAUCAACGGAAAAUGCGUAACGAUAAACCCAUAAAGUGUGACACCAGCAUUUUACUACAGGAGGCCUGGGAACGGGAGUGUAUUGAUCAAAUUUGCGCUUCUGCUUUGAUGACGGGGUUGAACCCUGUGAUCAAAACGAUAAUUGCGGGGGGUAGAUUUAAUUCGAGACUACGUUUUGAGAGUGGAAUAUGACUCCGCUCACCUCGCAGACGUGCGAGGGGUUAAUAGGACCAUAGAGAAAAACACUGAAUAUAGUUUCAAUGGCCAAGAUAAACCUAAGAAACGUAGCGAAAAAGCAUCAAAGCGUAGGGAAACCGAGUCCUGUUUUGGGUGUGGAGCUAUUGGUCAUUGGAAAAGGGAGUGUAAAGUGCGUAAGGAGCCUGCUAGAUUCGGAGAAAAUGCCAGGCAAGCGUUUGCACCCUUUUAAAAAGCGCAACAACAAAUCCUUCGGAAAGUAGAAGGACUGGAACUUUCACCUGACGGUGUAUAGUCUCUGUUCGAUCGAUAGGUGGUACAUAGAGAUUACAGGUGAAUUACAUGUGAAUGAAGACGUAUGAGAUAACGUUAUACCGAACUGUUUAGUAAAGGCCAGGGAUUAAAUAUUGAGGAAUAUCUACGAUGAGAAAUUGGCUAAAUUUCCAACAGGAUAAGAUAUUUUGGGUUAAAUAUAUUAGGCGAAAUGCCAAGGGAAUGGAUUCUAGAGGUAACACAUUUAAAUUAUAUGACCGAACACUCAUUGCAAAUGCAGAAGGCCUUAGGGUUUGUCUAAAUAAUUAGACAGUUUAUGUGGUUUAUUUUUUAAAUACAUUUACAUUUGAUGUCGUCUUAUUGCGGAAUGGGAUUCUAGAAUGGACGAACGGGUGGAGGGGACACGAGGAAUUAGGAAGUAGCAUUGGGGUACCAAACCUAAAAUGAACUUUACAUUUAUUUUUAUAUUGUAUGAUGGUUAUGGAGAAUCAUGGGGAAAAGGAGACCAGUGAAUCGUUAGACUCGGUGGAGAGAUACUAUCGCCUUGUUCUGGGAUUUAUUGGAAGGAGUUUUUUCAAUUCAGUUAAAAUGGGUUUGCAGGAGGAUGAAAUGUUUUGAAGAGGAAUUUAAAUGGUUUCCGAAGGACAGGGAAGGAAAGGGAGAGGAAACAUUUUAAUGGUGACGAAAGCCCUGAAUAUUAAAAAUUCCUCAUGAAGAAUGAUCAACUUCAUUAGGAAUUAAAUAGAAGGCUUUUCAGCAUAAAAUUCAUGAGAAACACCAUUCUCUAUCCAAAUUGUACCAUUACUUUAGGAGAUUAUUAUUAUUUCUGUAGGGAGUUAUAAAGAGUUUUAAUUCUAAAUGGUUUAUUGUUGAUUUAACAUGUUUUUAUUAAUCACGUGUUUGAAAGCGGUAAAUGACCAGUUCCCUGAGGUCCUGGUCUUUGGGGUACUUAUACAGUGGUACUGUGUUCAGGCUGCUUCCAGAAAGGGACAUAUAUGUUAAUAAGAGAUGACAGUAACUUCAAAUGGACUGUGAAGUAUGUAUUGAUAUCUUCAUGAUCUGGUAACUCUUCCUAGAGGUCGCCAGUAGAAUAAGGGAGUGUGGACUCAUGUAGAAACCGUUUUUUUUAACAGUAACAUUAUGUUAUGCUUUUUGACAUUUGUCUUAGAGAUGGUAUUAAGGAAAGGUUAAUGUAGGGGGAAGGUGAUUUCAGAUCGUGUUUCAAUGCAUGGUAGAAAUCAUUUGACCACAGACAGUGUGUGUUAACCUCAAAACCCUCCCUAACCGGCUGAAGAAAAAGUGACGAAGGCGUGCUAUGAGAGACAAUGACUUUUACCCUUAUCCUAUCUGAGUCCGAACCAUAAACCAGCUGAGAGACAGUGACUUACCACUCCUAUCUGAGUCUGAACCAAAACCAGGCCCGGGGUGCUGAGAGCGCGUGUGGAGUGAGCGUGGAGAGAGAACAAGCUCAGGUGAGAGACUCGUGUACGUGGGGGAAACAGAAGUAUCUACUUGGAUAUUAAAAUCGGGACAUUAUCAAUGGCCAUGAAAUGUGAUGGGCAAAAGUUACAUGUGCCGUUGGGAAAAUGAACUGUAAACGAUAUCUGAAGAAGACACACUAGAAUGAUAAGUGCCGGGUGAAGGAAAGGGGGGUGGUGGUAUACGCCCUGCUAACUAUUUAAACUGAAAAUGCAUUGAGAUAGUGAUAUUUCUUCACCAGGCCACUAUUGACAAGGGACAAAGGGGACAAAGGGGGGCUGUAAUGAGAAGAGUUAUGAGCGGCAAUAUAAGGUUGUUUAUAAAUGUGUGUUCUAACAGGGAUGAUAUGUGUGGAGUUGAUCAACUGGAAUUUGAGCCAAAUGAGGGGUAUGGUGAGACUAUAGACAUGGGCCAUGUUGGAAGUAGCAAUGGUUACAUUAGUAGCAUUGUUGGGAUAUCAGUAAUGACGACUCAUGUCACAUGGAUUGGUUACUGGUAACUGGGGGACCAAUGGGGGGACAGAGGAUGCUGUUACUCAAAUAUCACACAUGAUGUUGUCAGGAAAUAACCCAUGUGUUACAGUGUGUAUAUCCUCAGGUGGAACCAAGAUAUAACCAAGGGCCCGGGCUGAAUUCUGGAGGUUGAGUGUACAUCAAGAGACUCCAGGCGGGGGGGUGUUGGAACAGCAUUGAUUUAAGAGACGCACUACUUCGAACAGUACCUGCAGUGGUUAAGAUCGUCAUGUCUCUCCUUGGGGGGGUGCAUAGUUUUCACGUGAAGUGAGGUCCAACUGCAUUAUGAGUGAGUGAAGACACCAUGACAGAGGAAGCAGAGCGAGAGAGAGACUAAAUUCCACUGUAAGACAUACAGAUGUGUUGGGUCUGGGAACUACUGUAAACAUCAUAGUGAAGACACCAUGACAGAGGAAGCAGAGCGAGAGAGAGACUAGAUUCCACUGUAAGACAUACAGAUGGGUUGGGUCUGGGAACUACUGUAAACAUCAUAGUGAAGACACCAUGACAGAGUAAGCAGAGCGAGAGAGAGACUAGAUUCCACUGUAAGACAUACAGAUGGGUUGGGUCUGGGAACUACUGUAAACAUCAUAGUUGGUUAGGGGUUCAGCUGCGUUAUGGGUUAAUGCAUCACAUGAUAGAGGAUAGAGGGGUAAUUGUACUGUGAACAAUAUGUUGAAGGCAUUGAUGUAAAAGCAGAUACAGUGCUGAGUUCCCUCAAGAGGAUGGAACGUGGAUUAGGGAUACACACCUGCAUAUCAGGUGACGUGCCUAUCAGGUGAAAUGGAGAAGAAGGGGAACAAAGUGAAAAUGACAUGACUUGGGAACACUUCUCGGAACCUGGGGCCUAAAGGGGAAGACUGGGUGAAAGCAUGAGGAAGCUUUUUAGAGCUUUCAUUUUUGUGGAACCCAGCAGGAAAUUAUCUUGGAGGCAUAGAGUCAGGUGAAGAGAGAGUGGGAGUUGUCAUGGUUUCAGACUUUGGUUUUCAUGCAUAUAUGAAUAUGCAUAGCUUCUCACAUUGUUAAUAUUGUUGUUUUAUGUUUGUUUUUGUUGCUUUCCAAGUCUUGUGCUAUCACUCUCUUAGGAAAGUGGAGAAACCAAAGCCGCUCCAUCUGACAUAUAACAAGACCGCAGAUUCAGCUGGAAUGGCAUUUUGCUAUGUGAUGAUAGAUGGGAAUAAAAUGGCGUGAUCAUAGUACAGAGGCCAUAAGUCUCUUACAUAUGUAAACCUCGCGGUGACUGUUUAUUCAAUGUUUGUUCAUUUGUUUGUUUGUUUAAUUCAUGUUUUAUAAUCAUUUGUUCGUUUUUUUUAAUUCAUGUUUUAUUAUUAUUGUUUAUACAUUUAAGUAAUUUCCAAGUUUAUGUCAAAUGAACAUUAGGACACUAUUGUUGAAGAGGAAGGACUGUUGGAAUGGGCUAAACUUUGAUCGUUGAGGUAGUAAAUGAAUGAUAGGAAGUGAAAGAGACUGGGUGUUCUGUUAGAAGUUAAUGGUUCUCUGAAGAAAGACAGAGGGCUUCGGAAUGUGUUGGAGGGGAUGAGAGGAGAGCAAUGUGUGAAACAGGGGAGACAGAUGGACAUCUGUGGAUUAGAUGAAGGAGGGAUUGAGGUCAGGAUGUGAGGACAGAUAAUCAGUAAUAAAGGAGUGUGGUCCUGUUACCCUUUUUCAUUUGCUUCCCGUAGAGCCAUAAACUGUAAGGGUUUGAGAGAGGGAGCGUCUUAAGUAGGAUGUAUAUAACUGAUGGAGAGAAAUGUUCUGCUGUCUGAUUUCAGCUGAACAGAACCUUUGGGAAAGAUUAAACUUGGUUAAAGCUUCUCUAGUAUCCGUGAGUUAUUUCCUCUGACAAAUAAGAAACUAACAGGCUAUAUUUAGACAGUUAUGGACUAGGCUACAUGGUAAUACACUACAUGACUGUACAGAAUCCUGUCUCUAUGACUGAACAGACUCCUGUCUCUAAUGGUAAUACACUAUAUGACUGAACAGACUCCUGUCUCUAAUGGUAAUACACUAUAUGACUGAACAGACUCCUGUCUCUAAUGGUAAUACACUAUAUGACUGUACAGACUCCUGUCUCUAAUGAUAAUACACUAUAUGACUGUACAGACUCCUGUCUCUAUUGGUAAUGCACUAUAUGACUGUACAGACUCCUGUCUCUAUUGGUAAUACACUAUAUCACUGUACAGACUCCUGUCUCUAUUGGUAAUGCACUAUAUGACUGUUCAAAUGAAAAUUUUAAUUAGAAAAUCUUUAUUGUUCACCCAAUGUGUAUAUUUGUCUUUGGCUUCACAAUAACAUGACUGACAUACAACAUAUAAAAACAUUGAAAAGAUGAAUGUUUGUGUUUUCUCCCAACGUUCCAGAGAGACAACGACAGAGAGCACAAAGUCAGGCUGGCCAUUGGUAACGGUGUGAGAGCAGAGAUAUGGAGGGAAUUCCUGAACCGCUUUGGGAACAUCUACGUGAGGGAGUUCUAUGCUUCAACUGAGGGCAACGUGGGAUUGAUCAACUACACCGGGAAGAUAGGAGCUGUCGGACGAGUCAACUACCUACACCGGAAGCUGUUUCCUUAUGCUCUGAUUAAAUACGACACAGAGAGAGAUGAACCAAUCAGAGACUCUACCGGACUGUGUGUAGAAGCUCCUAAAG